rnacentral:rRNA from 1 species
AUCCUGGCUCAGAACGAACGCUGGCGGCAUGCCUAACACAUGCAAGUCGAACGGGGUCGGAACUUCGGUUUCGACUUACGUGGCGCACGGGUGAGUAACACGUGGGAAUCUGCCCAUCUAUGGGGAAUAACUGCGGGAAACUGCAGCUAAUACCGCAUACGCCCUUCGGGGGAAAGGCUUCGGCCGUAGAUGGAUGAGCCCGCGUCCGAUUAGCUAGUUGGUGGGGUAACGGCCUACCAAGGCGACGAUCGGUAGCUGGUCUGAGAGGAUGAUCAGCCACACUGGGACUGAGACACGGCCCAGACUCCUACGGGAGGCAGCAGUGGGGAAUAUUGGACAAUGGGCGAAAGCCUGAUCCAGCAAUGCCGCGUGAGUGAUGAAGGUCUUCGGAUUGUAAAGCUCUUUCGACGGGGAAGAUAAUGACGUACCCG